rnacentral:tRNA from 1 species
CCUGCUGAUAGCUCAGUUGAUAGAGCAUGAGACUCUUAAAACUCAGAGUCAUGGGUUCAAACCCCACAUUGGGGGU